AACAUGAUAAAUGCUUAAGUUGCAUUUAAUUUAUAAGUUGGAAAGUAUUUACUUUUCAACAUUAUCAAAAUAUCAAAUGCCACACAGUAAUGAAAGUCCAAGUAAAGGUGUUAUGCAUAAACACCGAUGCGAUUCUUUAACAAUGUAUAUAUCAAGAUGUAUGUAAAAUGUAGACCUGUUUAACUAAAAAAAAUUAACUUGCCAGAAUAUAUAUUAUGCUAUUUAUUCAUUUCUAGUUAAGCUACUCAUUUGUAAUUAAUGCUUAAGCUUUCAAAUAAUGUCAAAAAUGUGUAUCUCAAUUACAUGCCACAUAAGGACACACAUCCAGAGGAGUAGAGCUUGGCAAAAAGAAAUAAAAUACAACUCCGGUCUUACGCACAGCGUUAUAGCAGAUUUACACAUACUCACACAUUAAUGAAACUUAAAGAUGGCGCCGCCGGAAACAAGAGACCAAAGUUAUACCACCCACCGAUAGUUAUAACAUACGUAAAUGUAUAAGUAUAUGUAGUGCAAAGUAACUUUUUCUGAAUCCAAAAGGAAGCUGGCAAAGAGAUUAUGCCAUGUUAAGAAACAGGAUAACAUGUGAAGUAAUACGAGAGCUGGAGAGUGGGUACGAGGAACUACCACCCACAACAUGGCAAACAAAAGAUUAGUGAGGGUUGCAAUCGCUUUCGAGUGUCUUACAUUUGUCGAAAUUAAACAAUGUAAACUUUUGGUUUGCUCAACAAGCCAGCCAAGCCAAAAAGAAGCAAACUUUGUCCCCAUCUUUGAGUACAACUUGGAGCCAGUAGCUGGUGUGGGUGCGUGUGCCUCGACAGACGAAUGCGAGUACAAAUACGAGUACAAUUGUUGCUUUUGGUUUGGCGCCAGUCCGAUUCACGUUCUUGGCCGUUUCUCUGGAGCAUUUCAAUUAUGGCUGCGUUCGUGGUGAGUGGUUUGGCUUGAAGCACGACCACUUCAGGAGCCGAGUCACAUAUAAAUUUCAAGUAAUUGCUUAGCAAGUCAAAGUCCUGCUGCUGCUUGACUGCUCCCCUUCAACAAAAGUCAUCACAAAGUCGACCAACUCCUGUAAGACCUGCAAGUUGUUAUUAGGGGUUCUUGUAACUCUGAAUGCAAUCACAUGGCAAAAUGAAAAGUACUCGGGGCAGAUGGAGAUUAGCUUGUGACACUUUGACAUAAAUAUGGAAGCCGAUUUGUAUAAUUGUGAAAGGGGACGACUUAGUGGAACACAUAUUUAUGCUGUAUAUGUAAAUAUACAUAUACAAUACAGCCAAAUCAGCUUUUAUAUAA